GGCCUCGCCCUGGAGUCUCGGCACCGUCUGGCCCCGCCGGCUGAUUACAGCCAGAGAUCGAGGGGGACCUCGCUGUCCCCCUAGAGGCCGUCAUGCGGGGUUACAGAGGCUGCGACCAAAGUCAUUCCUAGCUCCUCUCUCGGGGCUCCGGAAAGCCGUCCGCGCCUCCAGCCGCACUUUCAGCGCACGCAGGACCUGCCGCGCCCGGUGGCCACACCCGUCCCUCUGCCGGGUGACGCUGCGGGAGAUCUUGCGCCCUGGGGCUCCGGAUCCAGUUCUGGCACGUUGUUGCACCUGUGACUUGUCCUUGGCCUGGCACUGUCCCUCGCCUGGGGGAAGCGGGGGGGUGGGGGGGGGAUGCUCACGUGGUCGCUUUGCUCCCGCAGUCAUGCACUUGGGUGAAAACAGACUGAAGAGUCACGGGAACCAGCUUGUCUCCCCAGUUAUGGCGCAGAGCUGCAAGGAUGGCUGUGGGUCAUUAAUUUCUCCGUGGCUGACCUGUGUUUGUAACGCCGCAGCUGUUGCGAGGGGGAAGGACACUGCUUCGGAUUCAAAUUCUGACUCCUUGCUGCAGUGUGUCACCUUGAGCCAGUCCCAGAUCUCUGCGUUCUCACAAUUGUAAAAUGUUAACAGAGGCUGCCUACCUUGUGGCUGGAAUUAAAUGAAUUAACGUGUGUGAAUGUGACUAGAAUUCAGUACAUGUUCAGGAAAAGCUGAUUUCCGCUUUGCUGUUACCGUGAAUAUUACUGUUUUAGGGUGUAGAAAAGGGUGGAAGGGGAUGUUAUUGCAUCCUGGAAGCUUAUCCUUUUGAGGUAAAGAUUGAUUUCUGGUCCCCUGCGUGGUAUAUAGUGUAGUUUUGACAUUAUUUAGAUGUGUUAUGCACAUUUGGGUGUUGAUUAUAUGGCUUACGAUCAAGACUAACCAGUCAUGCCGUGGGAGAUUAAGGUCGUGGUCUCUUGUCAGGAUUGUAGUGAGAUUUAAAAAUUCCAGCCAGAAAUACCAGGCUUAGAAUGCUCUGAAGCCCUCCCCACAUUUUUGCCAUCUCUAGCAGGAGGGCACUGCAUAGCAGAAACAAAGACGUUGUAAAUUGUUGCUGCCUGAGUCAUUUAUAGAGGCUUAAACAACCUGAAUGUCCUCUGACCUACCUGUAACAUUUGAUGGAGUUGUAUGAGUAACUUACAAAGCUGUAGGUCCCAAGGUCGGUCUGAAAAAGAAAGUUCAUAUCCGGGAGCACUGACCCCGUAGUGUAAUCCUGGCACCUUAAAACGUACUGCUCCCUCCACCUUCACUUCAAGGUUAUGAAAACAUUGAGUAAAAGGGAUGAUCUGUUCAAAGUCCUUAGUGUUCUGCCAAUUUAAAACAGUAAUUUUCAAAGCAGUUAUUUGCAAGGAAAUUGCCUAGAACUUCUCCCAGUGUGCGGUUGUUUUGUGUGUUUGUGUGUGUGUUUUGUUUGUUUGUUUUCAGUCUGUCCACAGGCGUACUUUUAUAGGUCUGUGAUAGUAGGUAGCUCUUCAAGUUGGCAAACACCUGCUGGACAACCCCUGAGAGAUUCAUCUGAGUGAGAGAGCACUCUCCAGCCCCAUCGGAGUGGGUUUGCAGGGAAAUCAUAAGGUAGAGAUUCAAAGGAAUUCCCUUGCGUUGCAAAUGAAAACUGUAUCUUCAGACUCUGAUAUAGUGUAAUCCUUCCUUUUUAGGAAGAAAUCCUUAUCUUUCCAACACUGAGAUGCUUCUGCCGAAGAGUAGAAUGGGAGUGAGGGGACACGCAAAACGGGCUGCUGCCGGAGGAAGAGGAACAGUGUUGUGGCUCAUGCCAUAUGAAUGGGCUCACUGGCCUGGCCCAGACCCUGACUGCCCACAGGAUCUUUGGUGAGUCACUGUCA
rnacentral:lncRNA from 10 species